AGUGACCUGCCUUUUAGACUGGAACAACUUACCGAAAGGUGAGCUAAUGCCGGAUGAGUUAUAUAAGUGCAUGUUUAUAUAGGAAAAGUUGGGGAGACCUGACGCUGAAAGAUGGACUCGCGUCCCAUUAGCUAGUUGGUAGGGUAAUGGCCUACCAAGGCGACGAUGGGUAGCCGGCCUGAGAGGGUGGCCGGCCACACUGGGACUGAGACACGGCCCAGACUCCUACGGGAGGCAGCAGUGGGGAAUUUUGCGCAAUGCUCGUAAGAGUGACGCAGCGACGCCGCGUGAAUGACGAACGCCUUCGGGUCGUAAAGUUCUUUCGACAGGGAAGAAAAUGCCUAUAAGUAACUGUGUAUGUAUUGACGGUACCUGUAUAAGCAGCCCCGGCUAACUCCGUGCCAGCAGCCGCGGUAAUACGGAGGGGGCGAGCGUUGUUCGGAGUGACUGGGCGUAAAGAGCACGUAGGCGGUGUUGUAAGUCAUUAGUCAAAGACUAGAGCUCAACUUUAGUAAGGCUAGUGAUACUAUAAUACUAGAGUAUCAGAGAGGAUUGCAGAAUUCCUGGUGUAGCGGUGAAAUGCGUAGAUAUCAGGAGGAAUACCGUUAGCGAAGGCGGCAAUCUGGCUGGAAACUGACGCUGAGGUGCGAAAGCGUGGG
rnacentral:rRNA from 1 species